GACAAGUAUGUAGGCAUGUAUGUCAUUAUUCAGGUUGUUUCAAGAUUUCUUGCCAGUAGAAAAAGACCCGGUUUCUAACCGAGAUCCAAGGCUCCUUCAUUGGAAUUUCAACAUCAACAACAGGGUAUUUUUGUAUGUGUGUAUGUAUGUAUGUAUGCAUGUAAUGAUGAUUUGUAUUUUUCUUUAUGUU